GGGGAUUUAGCUCAGCGGUAGAGCGCUUGCCUAGCAAGCUCAAGGCCCUGGGUUCGAUCCCCAGCUCCG
rfam:Rattus norvegicus chromosome 18, whole genome shotgun sequence.